AUCUGCAGUCGAGCGACUGAUUAGAAGCUUGCUUCUAUGACGUUAGCGGCGGACGGGUGAGUAACACGUGGGCAACCUGCCUGUAAGACUGGGAUAACUUCGGGAAACCGAAGCUAAUACCGGAUAGGAUCUUCUCCUUCAUGGGAGAUGAUUGAAAGAUGGUUUCGGCUAUCACUUACAGAUGGGCCCGCGGUGCAUUAGCUAGUUGGUGAGGUAACGGCUCACCAAGGCAACGAUGCAUAGCCGACCUGAGAGGGUGAUCGGCCACACUGGGACUGAGACACGGCCCAGACUCCUACGGGAGGCAGCAGUAGGGAAUCUUCCGCAAUGGACGAAAGUCUGACGGAGCAACGCCGCGUGAGUGAUGAAGGCUUUCGGGUCGUAAAACUCUGUUGUUAGGGAAGAACAAGUACAAGAGUAACUGCUUGUACCUUGACGGUACCUAACCAGAAAGCCACGGCUAACUACGUGCCAGCAGCCGCGGUAAUACGUAGGUGGCAAGCGUUAUCCGGAAUUAUUGGGCGUAAAGCGCGCGCAGGCGGUUUCUUAAGUCUGAUGUGAAAGCCCACGGCUCAACCGUGGAGGGUCAUUGGAAACUGGGGAACUUGAGUGCAGAAGAGAAAAGCGGAAUUCCACGUGUAGCGGUGAAAUGCGUAGAGAUGUGGAGGAACACCAGUGGCGAAGGCGGCUUUUUGGUCUGUAACUGACGCUGAGGCGCGAAAGCGUGGGGAGCAAACAGGAUUAGAUACCCUGGUAGUCCACGCCCGUAAACGAUGAGUGCUAAGUGUUAGAGGGUUUCCCCCCUUUAGUGCUGCAGCUAACGCAUAAGCACUCCCCCUGGGGAGUACGGU
rnacentral:rRNA from 1 species